rnacentral:rRNA from 1 species
UACGUAGGUGGCAAGCGUUGUCCGGAUUUACUGGGCGUAAAGAGCGCGCAGGCGGUCGUUCAAGUCGCGUGUGAAAGCCCCCGGCUCAACUGGGGAGGGUCACGCGAUACUGAUCGACUCGAAGGCAGGAGAGGGUAGUGGAAUUCCCGGUGUAGUGGUGAAAUGCGUAGAUAUCGGGAGGAACACCGGUGGCGAAGGCGGCAUCCUGGACCAAUAUUGACGCUGAGGAGCGAAAGCUAGGGGAGCAAACGGG